ACACAGAGGGUGCGAGCGUUAAUCGGAAUUACUGGGCGUAAAGCGCGCGUAGGCGGCUUAUUAAGUCAGAUGUGAAAUCCCCGGGCUCAACCUGGGAACUGCAUCUGAUACUGGUAAGCUAGAGUUUGGGAGAGGGAAGUAGAAUUUCAGGUGUAGCGGUGAAAUGCAUAGAGAUCUGAAGGAAUACCAGUGGCGAAGGCGACUUCCUGGCCUAAAACUGACGCUGAGGUGCGAAAGCGUGGGUAGCAAACGGGAUUAGAUACCCCAGUAGUCC
rnacentral:rRNA from 1 species